rnacentral:rRNA from 1 species
UACGUAGGGGGCGAGCGUUGUCCGGAUUUAUUGGGCGUAAAGAGCGUGUAGGCGGCCAGGUAGGUCCGUUGUGAAAACUCGAGGCUCAACCUCGAGACGUCGGCGGAAACCAUCUGGCUAGAGUCCGGAAGAGGAGAGUGGAAUUCCUGGUGUAGCGGUGAAAUGCGCAGAUAUCGGGAGGAACACCAAUGGCGAAGGCAGCUCGCUGGGACGGUACUGACGCUGAGACGCGAAAGCGUGGGGAGCAAACAGG